AUACUGACGAGUCCCAAACAGGACGAAACGCGCGUCCUGGAU
rfam:Schistosoma margrebowiei strain Zambia genome assembly, scaffold: SMRZ_scaffold0000027